CAGCCGCCGCGGUAAUGCGAAGGGGGCUAGCGUUGCUCGGAAUUACUGGGCGUAAAGGGAGCGUAGGCGGACAUUUAAGUCAGGGGUGAAAUCCCGGGGCUCAACCUCGGAAUUGCCUUUGAUACUGGGUGUCUUGAGUAUGAGAGAGGUAUGUGGAACUCCGAGUGUAGAGGUGAAAUUCGUAGAUAUUCGGAAGAACACCAGUGGCGAAGGCGACAUACUGGCUCAUUACUGACGCUGAGGCUCGAAAGCGUGGGGAGCAAACAGGAUUAGAUACCCCCGUAGUCCCUGUCUCUUAUAC
rnacentral:rRNA from 1 species